rnacentral:lncRNA from 1 species
UUUUUUAGGAAUUUUUUGGGAUUUUUGGGGGGAUUUUUUGGGAUAUUUUGGGGAUUUUUAGGGAAGGUUUUUGGGUCAUUUUGGGUCCAUUUUUGGGCCAUUUUGGGUUUGUUUUUGGGUCAUUUUGGCUCCAUUUUUGGACCAUUUUGGGUCCAUUUUUGGGCCAUUCUGGGUCCAUUUUUGGGAUUUUUUUUGUUGCCAUUUUUGGGUUUUUUGGGUCCAUUUUUGGGUCAUUUUGGCUCCAUUUUUGGGUCAUUUUGGGUCCAUUUUUGGGUCAUUUUGGCUCCAUUUUUGGGCCAUUCUGGGUUGGAUUUUUGGGCCCUUUUGUGUCCAUUUUUGGGUCAUUUUGGCUCCAUUUUUGGGCCAUUCUGGGUUGGAUUUUUGGGCUAUUUUAGAUCCAUUUUUGGGCCAUUUUGGCUCCAUUUUUGGGUCAUUUUGGCUCCAUUUUUGGGCCAUUCUGGGUUGGAUUUUUGGGCCCUUUUGUGUCCAUUUUUGGGUCAUUUUGGCUCCAUUUUUGGGUCAUUUUGGCUCCAUUUUUGGGUCAUUUUGGCUCCAUUUUUGGGCCAUUCUGGGUUGGAUUUUUGGGCUAUUUUAGAUCCAUUUUUGGGCCAUUCUGGCUCCAUUUUUGGGUCAUUUUGGCUCCAUUUUUGGGCCAUUCUGGCUCCAUUUUUGGGCCAUUUUGGCUCCAUUUUUGGGCCAUUCUGGGUUAGAUUUUUGGGCCAUUCUGGCUCCAUUUUUGGGUUCAUUUUGGGUGUUUUUGUGUCCCCCCAGGGUCCCCCUGGCCCGCGAGGACAGCGCGGCGUUCCGGCAGCGCCGCCUCCGGGGACGAGUUUGGGCCAUUUUGGGUCAAUUCUGGGACAUUUUGGGUCCAUUUUUGGGUCCAUUUUGGGUCCAUUUUUGGACCAUUUUGGGUUCAUUUUUGGGUAUUUUUGGGAUUUUUUUUCUUGCCAUUUUUGGGUUUUUUGGCUCCAUUUUUGUGUCAUUCUGGCUCCAUUUUUGGGCCAUUUGGGCUCUAUUUUUGUGUCAUUCUGGCUCUAUUUUUGGGUCCAUUUUUGGGUUCAUUUUUGGGCCAUUUUGGCUCCAUUUUUGGGCCAUUCUGGGUUAGAUUUUUGGGCUAUUUUAGAUCCAUUUUUGGGCCAUUCUGGGUUAGAUUUUUGGGCUAUUUUAGAUCCAUUUUUGGGUCAUUUUGGCUCCAUUUUUGGACCAUUUUGGUUCAAUUCUGGGCCAUUUUGGGUCCAUUUUUGGGUCAUUUUGGUGCCGAUUUUUGGGAUUUUCUGUGUCCAUUUUUGGGCCAUUUUUUUGCUGAUUUUCAGGUUUUUGGUGCUGUUUUUGGGCCAUUUUGGGUCCAUUUUUGGGCCGUUUUGGGUCCAUUUUUGGGCCAUUUUGGGUUCAUUUUUGGGAUUUUUUUUGUUGCCAUUUUUGGGUUUUUGGCUCCAUUUUUGGGUCAUUUUGGGUCCAUUUUUGGGUUAUUUUAGAUCCAUUUUUGGGCCAUUUUGGCUCCAUUUUUGGGCCAUUUUGGCUCCAUUUUUGGACCAUUUUAGGGUCCAUUUUUGGGAUUUUUUUUGUUGCCAUUUUUGGGUUUUUUGGCUCCAUUUUUGGGUUCAUUUUGGCUCCAUUUUUGGGUCAUUUUGGCUCCAUUUUUGGACCAUUUUGGCUCCAUUUUUGGGCCAUUUUUUUUGCUGA